AAACACUGAGACCUGCACAAUAGCCACUUCUACUGUUUGUACAAACAAGGUUUGAUCAUAGUUUUUGAGCCCACUGUCACAUGGGGUGUUGAACCUAACAUAUAGUAAUAUUACCUUUUUAAUAUUACAUAUUCUACAAAUAAAGGUGGUAUAGAGAGCUUUUGUAUGAAAACCCUUUGCUGCUAAUUCAAUCUUUAACUGAUUAAAAGACGUUCUUUGAAUAUAAUGUUUGUAUGGGCUUAAAUAGAAAUAUAGAAUACUAAGUUUACCUCAACUAUGAUUCACCUUUUCCAAUAAAGAAGUGUAUAAAAGAAAGUAACAAAUUGUACACAAUCUAAAAGAAGAUGCACUUACUGACUUAUUUAUGCCCACAUAUACUGCAUUAACGCAAUGAUCACCGAUGACACUUCAUUUGCGAAUGUUGUGUUUUGGUAUAGGGUGCAAAGUGUGCGAGCUGGGUUGCAAAGUGUGCGAGCUGGGGGAAAGUUGGGUAAUGGGUCAAAACUGGUCGGGUCAGGUUUGGUUGACCCAUAACUUUUAUAUAUAACAUGUAGUUUCUACUUUAAUUACAAAAUCGUGUUAUUUCAUGAUAUUUGCUUUUAUCCAGGUUUUUGUUUUGAUAAUUAUCCGAACAUGACAAUGAUGCAUAUCUUGAAGCCUAUGAAGGUCUUUGCCGGAACUAUCCUUACAUUGUUGAAUAAGAAGAGGGAGUAAGGCACCUAAUGAAAAUCCUUGCAGCCACUAGAAAGUAUUGACCCGCCUUAUUAUUUUCGGAUAUAUGUGCCUUUGUCAUAAAGAGACGACCAACAGACAACGACAACAACGAUGCAGUGAUAAACAAGACAAUUGAUGCCGUAUUUUUUAUAGCGCUGUGGUGCUUGAAUCGGGUUGUGAUUGGUAACGAUUUGCAAUGGUCGUGCCUACGCAACUUAUAUCGGAGGUUAGUAUGGUGAAAUUUGCAGUUUUUAAAUUUGAAGUCGCAUCUUUUUCAUUUACGCAACUAAUGGAGUUGAUCAACGUCUGCUAUCUAAUCUUCUCAUACAGGUAUGUUUGAUUCUUUUGCGUAUUUUUAACUGAAAUUAGUGUCCAUUUUGAAUCUGUAAUCCACUUAAAAAGUUGCCUCUUACGACCUCGGUCCCGACCGUUUUACGAAAUUUAAUUGUAUAAACUCUACUAAUCUGAAAGUCAGCUUGCCACUAUUUUUGCUUUUGUAAUUUUAAUUUUGAACCUUUCAUAUUUGCUAUUAGUUUAACAGAUGUGAUAAAAUUUGUUCUAUUUUUCAGUUAGCAAUUCUAACGCAGAAAACUACAUGAACCUGAUUCUUGCAACACUAUACAUUAGUCCAUCACUCCAUCUUAUGCUUAUCUAGCAGGAACAACGUUGUUAACACUAUAGUAUUGACUAAUAAAAAAGUUAAAAUAAUCCUAUAAAAUAUCAACAAAAUUAAAAGCCAUAUGGAAUUAUUCAAUCGUGAGUGUUUUUUGCAUGUUUAUUGUUCAAGGUAGAUGAUGAGUAGACAUAUCUUUAAGUAUUCUGGAUCCCUUUACAUGUUUAUAUUUAAAACUAACAGUGAUGAGAUAACCGGAGCGACGUGUUGAAGCUGGUUAGUUUCGUGUUGGUCAUAUUCAUUUAAGUGUGGUCAUUUCCUGCCAGUAAAGUAUGUAGAGAAGAAGAGUUCGAUGAAGACGUAGAAGGGAGGAACGAGAGUCGAGAUAAGGAAGAGAAUGUUGUGGUAGUAGAGUGGUCGGUUGGUGACGAUGACGGUGAGUGGUAGCGGAGGAAUUGAACCAGACGAGUUUGGGCGAUGGUGAGUGGCAACCGAUAACGAUGGCAGUUUUGGAGUCUUGAAUUGAAGCGUUGAGCAGUGAUUUAGGGAUCGGUGUCGGCUACGUGCUCUGUUGUUUCUGCAGUUAGAUUGUUUUGUUCUUUUUCCUAAUCUUUAAUGGUAGAUUGGACCAUGCUUAGUGAA